rnacentral:misc_RNA from 1 species
UAAAUUGCAGUAACCCAGAUCAAAUCCUCUUUUCAAGGGAGAUUCUCAACUUGAAAUCUAACGGACUGCGACUGCAGUUGAUGAACGAUCUAAGGCAGACGGUACGUAUGUGUAUAUCUUAUAUCAAACCUUAUGGCUAUCUAAGGCUUAUAAUCGAAUAAAAUUGAAUACUAUAAGCAGAAAUAACAUUCGUUAAACCUGAUCCGAGAAAAAAAGCUAGUUUUUGUGUGAUCAAAGUAUGCGUAAGUUUCAGUUUUCAAAGCUCGUGUUAACAAGGAUGAAAACUUUCGUAUAAAUAAAAUCACGAAGUCCUAUUACAAGGAGAAUUUAUAAAUACUAUAAAAGUUUGUUAGGUUUGUAAAGAUUGUCUUGAUUUGAAAAAAUGUCAGGCUAUAAGAAGAAUUCUGUAUAUAUGAAAGCAAUGUGACGGGAAUAUAAAACUAUUCUUUGAUUUCCUAGAAAGACCGGUUUCUACGAUCCUCGUGGUAUAAUUCAGGAAUGAUAAUUGUUCAUUCCUUAAACGAACACGUGCAAUAAGUUAAAACAUCUAAACACCACCUAAUCCAAGGUAGUCAGUCUUUUACGUAUAUCUAUACCGCAUAGACGGAUAAAUAUCACACACGACUAACAAAUACGAACGCGAAUUGUUUCGCUGUAUAAUACAGCUAAAUUGCAUAAAUCACAGGCACGUUAAUGACCGUGAAUUCCAUUUGUUAACCGUAACGUGUAAAGAAUUUUCUCAGACCCUUGACUGAGCAACGAAUCGAAAUUACUUAUCGCGUUAUCCUCUACCGCUCUGGUGUUCGCAGUUAUAUUAGAAAGGAAAAUACAGCUCGACAAUCAUCCUUGUACACAUAGAAACUAUUCGCAGUCAGUGGGCAACAAAUUUCCGGUUUUUAUCCUCUGCAUCCAUUACAAAAUAACGUAACAAAUCUCGUUACGUACCGUCAGUGGAAAUUCCCUGCAUUCAUUCAUGAUCAGACUGUUGCGGAAUACAGUUUACGUCAAAUUUUUGUUCACUAUUACCAGCGUACCGUGUUCGUCCACCUACUCUCGUAUCAUGUGGACGGUUGGUUAUGCAGAGAAGCGGAGUGGUGGUCAUGCCGGCGACUGGUUUCCACGAUCUACACGAUCGCACAAUCGUUUUCGUGUCAGCUGUUACAACGAUCGUGUUCCACCCAGCAAUAAUUUUCAUACGGUGAUGUUGAAAAAGAAAAGCUUGAUGUCGCAAAAUCAAUUGUACGACCCUUUCUAGACGAUUUGGACCCUCAGAAAGAAGUGAAAGACGUAGAAAGCAAACAGCGAGCAGCGAAGAAACUGCCUUAUCUUGCAAAACGGGUGUUUGAGCUGGCGUAGGAUCAGCAGCUGACAAACUACGAAGUAUAUACAGGAAAAUUCGACUAUUAAUAAUUUUGAUACAAGUGACAUAAAGAAGUGACAGUGAAUUAGCAAAAAUGUUGUAUACUGCGGAGAUGCAUUACAACUGUGUGAAAAAUAAAACAAAUUAUAUUAGGAAACUGAGAGAACAAGUAUCUCAUUCAAUAUUUGUCGUAUUCUCCUCGAAGUAAUGUAUAUUGCAUUCAUUUUGAGGCAAAUUCUCUUAGUUUUUUAAUUCAGUACGGUCUGGUAACUUUUGAAUAUACUAUACACUGACAUGACAUACAAAAACUUGUACUCAAAUUCAGCCAUAUUACUGUCAUACACUGAGAUUAAA